AUACCAGUGUUAUUAUUACUAGUUUAUAAGUUUGAUAUUAAAUGAUAGCAAGAAAAAAUUAGAUAUAUAUUUCUCUAUUGAAACACAGCUCUUUAGAGAGAGUUCAAAGAGUUUGUGCCCACAACUAUCUAGAAUUCUGUAACUUAAACAGUAUUUUUGUCAGGUAAAGAACUUUAUUUGUCCUUUAUAUACUUAUGAUAAAAAACAUUCUUCCACAUUUUAUAGUCAAUGAAUUUUCUUUACAAAUCAUGUUAAAAGGCAGAAGAAAACAGUCAAACUUAAAGAAAGCCAAUUUCCUCUGUUUAUUUCUAAAAUACUCUUCUGUCUCAAUUAGCUUCGAACAAAGGUUCCAAAUAUCUGAAAAUCUAGAAAGACAAAGAGAUCCAGCACAUACCAUUCCAUAGUACUGCUUAUGACAUCGUUCUCAAUAACAAACAAAAUUUCUUUGUUUACUACAGUGUAGAUAUAGCCUGCUGCAGGGAGGAGAGCCUGAUGAUUGAAAAGAAGAGUGUCAGAUGACCUACCAAGGCCUUAUUCCCCCUAAGCAGAAAUGAUAAUAGCACAGCAAACAGUCUUCUGGUGAAUGUAGUUCUACUGGAAUACCAGUAAUCAAAAAUCAUAAAACCAUGACAAAAAUCUAACCUAACCUGUUCCAGUGCCUCACCUUCUUAUGCUUAAUCCUUUUGUUUCCAAGCUUGUACUGAUAGCAAGAAUUUGCUGUGACCCAGGUGCAAGACCUUGCACCUGGCUUAGCUGAACCUCAUGAGGUUCACCUGGGCCCACUGCCUGUGUCUGUCUAUGUCUCUCUGGAUGGCAUCCCAUCCCUCAGGCUUUCUGAUUGUACCACACAGCUUGACUGCAUCUUCAAGCGAGCCACUCGUCACUGAUUUCCAUCCAGAUAUUGAGCCAUUGACCACCAAUCUGUGGAUACAAUCUCAUAAGCAGCUCCUCACCCAUCGAACAGUCUGCCCAUCAAAUCCAUAUCUUUUCAAUUUGGAGACAAGGAUGUUAUAGGGGACAAAGAACUUGAAUCCUUGAAUACUUCAGUGGAAUCUAUAAAUAAAAGAGCAGAUGAAGUUCCAGCACUGCCAAUUACUCAAAUUCAAAGCAUAGCCUGAAAGGUAACCAAAUAAGGGCUCACAAUAAUCCUCAUUUUGGUGCCCUUGUACUCACCAUAGGAUCUAUGGUCUCUUCCAAAAAUCUAGUAGUGAAUUUAGUCUAUAAGCUGAUCUGUUUCCCUUGGGUGCAGAUGCCUUUACAGUUCAGUGCUGAAUAUAUGCUGUAUUCGUCACCAUGUGCAGACACUAUCAUGUGCUUAUUGUGUUUAUUGCUGGGCAGGGUAAUUGAACAUGAUGACAUUUUGCUUGUGAGUUUUUUUAGGGCUUUUUUUUUUUCCCUCCCUAUUUUCUUUGCUGGCUUUUUCCUAUUACAUGCUGCUGACUUCCAGUGAACAAGUAAUUUACCCAUAAAGGCAAUAUUAGACAAGUGAGAUGAUUUAUAAGGACUUUGUGAACCCUUGUGUAUGGUCACAAAUAAAGGCAAUUCAAGCUCAAUGCAGUGUGCAUGUGAGAAAGCGAAUAAUGCUUACUGAGAGUAACUGUUAGACAUUUCAUGAUUAAAAAAGCAAAAUCACCAGAGGAAACAGUGACUAACAAUUAUCCUCUGGUGCUCCUUAUUUAUUUUUAUUUAUUUAUUUUGAGCUAGUAUUUCCUUCAGGCAAAAAUGAGUCAGAUGCUGAAAACAUUUGCCUUGGAAUCUCCUCUUGAAUCCCAAAGCCUAAAUGUCAGAGCAGCUAUAAAAACAAAUCAAAGAUUCACAUCUCUAGAAAUGCUUAGCAUCUGUUGUUUUGUUACAACUCUUGUGUUUAUGAAAUGCAAUUAGAAGAAAAUAAUAUACUGUCCUGGAUUUUCCCACUCUGAUUUAAGCAUUAAAAGUGGCAUAAUUUGUCCCAGGUUUUUCAUUAAAAUAAUUUUUUCUGUUGUUAAUUCCUUACUAUAUAUAUGCAUACACAUAUAUUAUUUAGUACAAAAUAUUUUAAAUCUAAUUUAAUUAUUAUUAUUUUAGCUGGUGCAAUAAACUAAGUAAUACU
ensembl:lncRNA